CGAGUGCUUGCACUCAAUUGGAAAGAGGAGUGGCGGACGGGUGAGUAACACGUGGGUAACCUACCCAUCAGAGGGGGAUAACACUUGGAAACAGGUGCUAAUACCGCAUAACAGUUUAUGCCGCAUGGCAUAAGAGUGAAAGGCGCUUUCGGGUGUCGCUGAUGGAUGGACCCGCGGUGCAUUAGCUAGUUGGUGAGGUAACGGCUCACCAAGGCCACGAUGCAUAGCCGACCUGAGAGGGUGAUCGGCCACACUGGGACUGAGACACGGCCCAGACUCCUACGGGAGGCAGCAGUAGGGAAUCUUCGGCAAUGGACGAAAGUCUGACCGAGCAACGCCGCGUGAGUGAAGAAGGUUUUCGGAUCGUAAAACUCUGUUGUUAGAGAAGAACAAGGACGUUAGUAACUGAACGUCCCCUGACGGUAUCUAACCAGAAAGCCACGGCUAACUACGUGCCAGCAGCCGCGGUAAUACGUAGGUGGCAAGCGUUGUCCGGAUUUAUUGGGCGUAAAGCGAGCGCAGGCGGUUUCUUAAGUCUGAUGUGAAAGCCCCCGGCUCAACCGGGGAGGGUCAUUGGAAACUGGGAGACUUGAGUGCAGAAGAGGAGAGUGGAAUUCCAUGUGUUAAAACCGG
rnacentral:rRNA from 1 species